rnacentral:rRNA from 1 species
CAGCAGCCGCGGGAAUACGUAGGGUGCGAGCGUUAAUCGGAAUUACUGGGCGUAAAGGGCGCGUAGGCGGCGAUCAAAGUCAGGCGUGAAAUUCCUGGGCUCAACCUGGGGGCUGCGUUUGAUACUUGAUUGCUAGAGUGGGGAAGAGGGUCGUGGAAUUCCCAGUGUAGAGGUGAAAUUCGUAGAUAUUGGGAAGAACACCGGUGGCGAAGGCGGCGACCUGGUCCUUGACUGACGCUGAGGCGCGAAAGCGUGGGGAGCAAACAGGAUUAGAUACCCGGGUAGUCCUGUCUCUUAUACA